CCCUUAGAUGUUCUGGGCCGCACGCGCGCUACACUGACGAUGGCAACGAGUUUUUCCUUCGCCGAAAGGUGUGGGUAAUCUUUUGAAACAUCGUCGUGCUGGGGAUAGAUCAUUGCAAUUUUUGAUCUUGAACGAGGAAUUCCUAGUAAGCGCGAGUCAUCAGCUCGCGUUGAUUACGUCCCUGCCCUUUGUACACACCGCCCGUCGCUACCACCGAUUGAAUGGUUUAGUGAGGACUCCUGAUUGGCGCCGCCGCCCCGGCAACGGAGCAGCGGACUGCCGAAAAGUUGUUCAAACUUGAUCAUUUAGAGGAAGUAAAAGUCGUAACA
rnacentral:rRNA from 1 species